ACGCCGCGUGAGUGAAGAAGGGUUUCGGCUCGUAAAACUCUGUUGUUAAAGAAGAACAUAUCUGAGAGUAACUGUUCAGGUAUUGACGGUAUUUAACCAGAAAGCCACGGCUAACUACGUGCCAGCAGCCGCGGUAAUACGUAGGUGGCAAGCGUUGUCCGGAUUUAUUGGGCGUAAAGCGAGCGCAGGCGGUUUUUUAAGUCUGAUGUGAAAGCCUUCGGCUCAACCGAAGAAGUGCAUCGGAAACUGGGAAACUUGAGUGCAGAAGAGGACAGUGGAACUCCAUGUGUAGCGGUGAAAUGCGUAGAUAUAUGGAAGAACACCAGUGGCGAAGGCGGCUGUCUGGUCUGUAACUGACGCUGAGGCUCGAAAGUAUGGGUAGCAAACAGGAUUAGAUACCCUGGUAGUCCAUACCGUAAACGAUGAAUGCUAAGUGUUGGAGGGUUUCCGCCCUUCAGUGCUGCAGCUAACGCAUUAAGCUUCCGCCUGGGGAGUACGGCCGCAGGCUGAAACUCAAAGGAAUUGACGGGGGCCCGCACAAGCGGUGGA
rnacentral:rRNA from 2 species